GAUGAAGAACGCAGCGAAAUGCGAUAAGUAAUGUGAAUUGCAGAAUUCAGUGAAUCAUCGAAUCUUUGAACGCACCUUGCGCCCUUUGGCUAUUCCGAAGGGCAUGCCUGUUUGAGUAUCAUGAACACCUCAACUCUCAUGGUUUGCCAUGAUGAGCUUGGACUCUGGGGGUCUUGCUGGCCUAUGGUCAGCUCCUCUCAAAUAAAUCAGCUUGCCAGUGUUUGGUGGUAUCACAGGUGUGAUAACUAUCUACGCUUGUGGUUUUCCAUCAGGUAACCUUCAGUGAUGGAGGUUCGCUGGAGCUCAUAAAUGUCCCUCCUCAGCGAGGACAGCUUUUUGAACGUUUGAUCUCAAAUCAGGUAGGACUACCCGCUGAACUUAAGCAUAUCAAUAAGCGGAGGA
rnacentral:misc_RNA from 1 species